rnacentral:rRNA from 1 species
CACGUAGGGCGCAAGCGUUGUCCGGAAUUAUUGGGCGUAAAGAGCUCGUAGGCGGUCUGUUGCGUCCGCUGUGAAAACUCGGGGCUUAACCCCGAGCCUGCAGUGGAUACGGUCAGACUAGAGGUAGGUAGGGGAGAAUGGAAUUCCCGGUGUAGCGGUGAAAUGCGCAGAUAUCGGGAGGAACACCGGUGGCGAAGGCGGUUCUCUGGGCCUUACCUGACGCUGAGGAGCGAAAGCGUGGGGAGCGAACAGG